AAACAAGUGGCUAUGCACCAGAAUCCUGUGUUGUGCCCUUUCAAGCCAAAUACAACUAAUAAGCAUGGGUUAAUAUACUAAACUGGAGUUUUCUAGUCAAGGCGGUGAAUGUGUUUAGGUGAUCGCUCAAUACGGUGAUCAAAAUCCUGCGUUCCCAUCAGCUCCUAUACACAUUUAAUCUCACACCUCUCACCAAUCCACUUAAGAGAGUUACGACUGCGCUACACGUGUGCUUUUAGAGGACAACACAGAGCGGCGUUCUUUCACAGAGGGCACGACCACACUCUCUCUGAUUCAGCGAAAAUAUCGAUUAGAAAAGCAGGGGGUCUCUUUAACAAGUCCACUCCCUCCUGCAGAGAUGUGUGUGUGUGCGUGUGUGUGCGAGAAGAGUGCUGAAACGGCUCUUUCAUGUAAGCCCCUGUUAAACUCUCUCAUGGAGGAUAUGAUCUCAGUCCUGUCAGGGAGGUGAGAAGGAAUGGAAGCUGAAUUACGAUGAGGAUUUAAAGCGUGAGCCUGUUCUUUUUACCAGCUCCGGGUGGAGAACACCAGCAAGUACAUUCAUCAUAGUGAUGCGUUUUAGUUAAGUGGUCCAUUCACAGUGACUUUCAGAAUAAUGCUAUUAAUUAGUGGUGUGUCUUGCUAAACAUUAAAUUACGUGGAUUUGCUUGGCUGUGAACCAAAGGAGGAAAAAACAGGCCACUAUAUUCCUCCCAAAACACCUUUCUCGACACAAACCCUUGCUUAGCUCUGCAGUGUUUCUGCUUUAUUCCCAGGGAAGCUGUAAUAAUGGUCAUUGUAAAGUGAGUUUGCUGAUUAAACACUGGCGUUAGUGGCGAUGCUGAUUAAAGCUGAUUAAAGGUUCUGCUGUUUAAUGUGAAAAAUCUCCAAGCAAAACUUGAGAAUUAUUCAAAGGUUGCUUAAAUCACUGGUUUGUAACAGACUCAUAAGUAAUGGAGCCAAGUUGCAAGCAGUAGAAAAUGAAUUAAAAAAAAUGACCAUAA